AGCUCUGUAGCACAAUGGAUAGUGCGUUGGACUUCUAGUUAGGUAGUCUGAGGUAUUCAAAGGCUCUGGUUUUGAGUCCCACCAGAGUCA
rnacentral:tRNA from 1 species